ensembl:lncRNA
AUACCAGUUCCUAAAGAAAUUAUGAAGAAAUAAGUGGAAUUUAUUUUUGAUGCUAAUUUUCAUUGUUAUCUCCCUUUUAAAAAUGUUCACUGCGCUAUUAGGGCAUCUUCCCCUCGAGUCCUCUCUCUCUCUACAGUGCCAGAAGGCAUUUCUGUAGUGCUCCUGUACUCAGUGCCAUUUUCCUUUUGUUCUGCCUUCUAAAAUUCAAACGUGCUAAAAUAAGCAGCUCCCAGCAUUGUCUCUGAUUCAGAAAGGAUAUAAGCAGGGCAUCAUGCAAUACUGAGGGGAGAUGAAAGAUUCAAGGUAGCCUAUAGAUGAGUUAAAGACAGGAGGUGCAAUGCUGGCAGUGUUUAGGUCACCACCUCCCCCUGCCUCCCAUGCAAUGGACAACUGGAUAAUAAAUUAGCAUAGGAGGCUAACCUAGAUCCUUAUUCCGUCUUAGAUGCAGGUGAUUGUCCAAGAGUCAUCAGUGACAGAAGGAUUUACAGCUCUUUCCAGAGAUAUGUGUGCAGCAGCCGUGGUGCUUUGUCUACCAGCCAGACCAGCAGCCCAGGCAGCUGAGCCAGAGGAGCCAGGACUUCCUCAGCAGCUUCAGCAAGCCUGCUGCUUCCAGCAGCGCUGUGUAGGAAACGGUGACUGUGCUCCUUUUCUUGUCGGUUGUGAGUGCGUACUGCAUCAGAAGAAGUACAAAUGGCACCUGUCUAUUCCCAGGAAGUGGUUGAAGACUCCUGAUAAUUCAAGUAUCACAAAUAUGUUUGGGAUAAGCCACAAAAAUGCUGCUCUAAGGUCAAGACUACUGCUGGAGUGA